rnacentral:rRNA from 1 species
AGUAAAAGUCGUAACAAGGUUUCCGUAGGUGAACCUGCGGAAGGAUCAUUACAUUCACCAGAUUUAUCUGGUAACGGGGGGUUGGAAAGUCUACAGGCUGUCUUUUAGGCGGUUUGUAGCCGAGUACGCCUCUGUCUGCAUCCCUGACUUUUGCGUACCCAAGUUUCCUCGGCAGGCUUGCCUGCCGACUGGACAAUUCUAUAACCUUUUUAAUUUUUAAUCAGCGUCUGAAUAAUUAUAAUAAUUACAACUUUCAACAACGGAUCUCUUGGUUCUGGCAUCGAUGAAGAACGCAGCGAAAUGCGAUAAGUAGUGUGAAUUGCAGAAUUCAGUGAAUCAUCGAAUCUUUGAACGCACAUUGCGCCCCUUGGUAUUCCAUGGGGCAUGCCUGUUCGAGCGUCAUUUGUACUCUCAAGCUAUGCUUGGUGUUGGGUGCUGUCUUUUAUCAAGACUCGCCUUAAAAUCAUUGGCAGCCGGUAUAUUGGUUUAAAGCGCAGCACAUUUUGCGUCUCGAAUUUCUAUAUCAGCCCCCAUAAAAUCUUUUUAACACUUUGACCUCGGAUCAGGUAGGGAUACCCGCUGAACUUAAGCAUAUCAAUAAGGGGAGGAAAAGAAACCAACAGGGAUUGCCUCAGUAACG